AUUCAUAUCCAGGACGGGGUCAAUGGGUGAUCAGCAAGGCCCAUAGCCAAGGUUAGCGACCUCCAUUGCACUUAGGAGGGGCGCUAGCCUAAGGUCUCCUCAAAGUGGGAGAGCCUACGUCAUAAUUUGUGGCAAUGGGGCUUCCGUUCGCGCGGCCUCCUU